rnacentral:rRNA from 1 species
UACGGGGGGGGCAAGCGUUGUUCGGAAUUACUGGGCGUAAAGGGCUCGUAGGCGGCCAACUAAGUCGGAUGUGAAAUCCCCAGGCUCAACCUGGGAACUGCAUCCGAUACUGGAUGGCUUGAAUCCGGGAGAGGGAUGCAGAAUUCCAGGUGUAGCGGUGAAAUGCGUAGAUAUCUGGAGGAAUACCGGUGGCGAAGGCGGCAUCCUGGACCGGCAUUGACGCUGAGGCGCGAAAGCGUGGGGAGCAAACAGG